UUCUAACCCAUCUUUAGAGCCCAUGGCCAGGUGACAGCUCAGCUCCAGGACCCAGGCAGGGAUCUGCUCCCUUCCAAUAGCAAAUAAGCCCAUUUUCCUCAUCAGAAUCAGGAGAUUCUCCCAGCCAAUGGGGUGGCUGUUUGCCGGGUGAGUCACCCCAUAAAGGACUGAAGUAUGUGGUUUGGCAAAGCAGACAUUCCUGCACUACAUGAAAGGGUGAUAGCAAUACAGUAUCUCUGGUUUAAUGUUCCAUCUUUUGUUGUGUUACUUAUGCAAAGAAGAGAGGGGUGGCAGGGCAGGAGACGUGGGGGGAGAAGGAGGAAUCCCUGAGAAGUCCAAAGCUCCAGGCUGUAAACCUUGCUAUGAGAGACUCCCUGGCCCCAUUCCCAUGGCUAGCCUCACUUAGUUAUCAGCCCAUCCAUGCCAUAGAAGCAUUGGCAUGAGAAAAAAGGAUCAGAAACCUGCAGGGUCAGAGCCAUCCCCAGGAUCCUACAAGCCCCUUGGCUGCCUCCUCCCUCUCCCCCAGCUCCAUGGACCAGCCACCACUAAGCAUGACCCUUGGCGUGUAUACAGGCCAGCCCUAGAAAUAUAAGCUUGAAAGUGGGGAGUGAUUAGAGGAAUUCUGUUACAUCCUAGUGGACUCAGGACAGGUGGCAUGGGACUAAGGUCAUGCAGGUAGAAAGAAGCAGGACCAGAAUUUGAAUCAAGCUCUUCUGACCUCAAAUCUGCGCUUUUCCCACAAUUCUACAUCGUCUAGUCUUUGUCCGUGCCAUGGACAAAGCACUGAGCUUUUCCCUGAACUUGGAGUCUGGGGACCCAACUCCAAAAACCAGAUCUGCUAUUUACUACCUGCUGGAUGAGAGGCAAGCCACUUCCCCUCAUCCGACCUUCCUUUCUUCAUCUGUAAAACGAGGGGGUUCAGCUGGAUGGCCCCAAAGGCCCUUCUAGCACUCCAUCGGCAUCCUGGGAUCCCCUCCCUAUUCAUCCUCUAAUAGCCAAUCCAAGAAGAGACCUCCAGUGAUCACCUCAACAGCCCCACAGGGUUUCCUCCAAGGAGCCUCUACCUGGACAUCUAUAUCACUAAAUUGGCAUUUAAUAUGCGCUAAGUCCUCCUUCCUUAUUGUUACGAUUUGGUAUGCUUAUGACCAUCCCACACAACCAGACUAUAAGCUCUUGGAAGGAGAGAGUCCCAGACAUGAUUGUCUCAAGAUGCUGCCUGUCAGAAACAUCACUAAUCCACAACAUGUUCCAGCUUUCCUCCUGUACUCCUGGACAAUUGCAUUAACCAGGGUAGGUGCCAAUCAAACACGGACCUUAGGCAAGCUGCUGACCCUUUCUGGGUCUCGUUUUCCAAGCCCGGAGCAGGGGAGGGGAGGAGUGCACCUAUGCGCAUGGCGCCAUGUUUCUGUGGGGAUUGGGGGAGACAAUUUUUGGGUACCCCGGGUUUCAGCAAAAGCCCCCGGAAA
rnacentral:lncRNA from 1 species